UUGUCUUUAGAAUUUGUCGCUCCUGC
rnacentral:piRNA from 1 species